CCUUUCUUUUCAUUCCGGAUGAACCCCCUACCCGAUCGAUCCCUCUUUUUUCCCUCUUCUGUAUGACUCCCUCUCUCUCUCCUUCUUCACCGUGCCGUACGCCUCUGCUGCUCCGCACGUGCGCGCGCGACGCCAUCUGAUCGUCGCCAUCAUUCGUAGCCGCCUCAUCCGCAAUCCUCUUUGGCCGUUAUUUUAUUUUUUGGUUCGCUAUCGACGGCAUCCUACCGUCAUCUUCACUAUUUUCGAGAAGGUUCCGACGACUGAAUUUUCGGCGCAUUUUCGACUGGAUAAUUUUCUAUCUUUGAAGCUGUGUUAAGGUAAGCAACCAGACACCCUGAAGCAGGGGAAAAGUUUAGAAAUCAAAAACCUCAAGUUGAAAGUGAAAUCUUAUCAAUCUGAAACUUUCUAUUGCAACUAUAUGCUUUGUCACGGCGAGACUUAAACACAGAUGCGUAAAAAUAAUUUAUGAAUAAUGUAAAGCAUAAACGGCGCAAUAAAACCCCAGAUAAAAGAUUGAAUUUAAAAUAGAGAACGAGAUGGAAAGUUGUACCAUCAAAAUCCGCAGUCGGAAUUAGAAAUCGCAAGCGCUGAACGAAAGUCGUCAAAUUCUUAAAGAUUACUCCAACGCCCUUUUCUGCCGGAGUACCAUCAUGCAUCGGUCGAAGGCGCGAUCUCCAAGAGGUUGAUGUUACGGCCGAGGUGAGCGUACAGUCGAAAGAUGAGAACGACGGCUAGGGCAAACGAGGUACUGAGACCGAUUCGCAGGGCGGGGCUGGGAGCGAGUGAACGUUAGAUGUAGCUAGAUUUGAUUCUAGCCUCUUUCGUCUUGUUUUUAUUGCAUUUAGAUAUAAAUUUUGAACUCCGUAGAUAAUCAUUGUUUAUCUAUUUCUACCUUGUUAAUUCAUCGUACCCAUUUUUUUUGUUAUUUAAAGCGCUAGUUAGACUAAAUUUUGUUUGCAUUGCAUUAUAAACUUUAGUUCUGCUUAUAUGAUAUUUUUCUUUUGAUUCUAGUUGAAA